rnacentral:lncRNA from 1 species
UAUCUGAUUUUUUUUCACUUAUGAUUUUACUGUCAUGAUUAAGAAAUUUUUUGUUUGCCUAAUCCAAAGACUUAUUCCUAUGUUUUCUUCCAAAACUUUUAUAGUUUUAGCUCUCACCUAUGCUCUAUGAUCCAGUUAUAGUUAAUUUUUAUAUGUGAUGUGACGCAGGGGUCCAGCAGCUUCAUUUUUUUACAUGUGGAAAUCCAGUUAUUUCAGUACCAUUUUUUGAAAAACCUACAAAUUGUCUUGGCAAUUGAUAGGGAUUGCCCUGAGUCUGAGAAUCAAUUUAGGGAAUAUUCCCAUCUUAAUUAAGUCUUCGGCUUCCUCUGUUUUCUUCUGCCACUGCUGGGUGUUGCUUGCCAUUACCUCCAACCUGGAUGGAAAGAAGACAUUCUGGUGUUCUACUUCACAAUAGAAUGACUAUAACUCACAAUAGUUUAUGGUAUAUUUCAACAUAGGUAGAAGAGAGGAUUUUGAAUGAUAUCACUACAAAGAAAUAAUAUGUAUUUAAAGUGAUGGAUGUGCUAAAAGAGCCUCAGUUAAAUUUUAAUUUAUUCUAAUUAGUCAGAUACUAUUCAUUCAUUUUAUUAAUAUUUAUUAAUAACCUGCAGUCUACCCAGUACUCUUCUAGUUGAUGGGAACAGAAUCACGAAUCAAAAGGUCUAUAGAGCUUAUCUUCUAACAAGAGAAGCCCAUAUUGUAAAUAAGUAAAAAUUAACUGAAUAAUAUAAAUCCAGAGAAAUAAGUUUUGUGAUAUUAUUGAUAGAGAAUAACUGGGUUUAGUGCGGGUAUUUUUUAGAUAGGUGGUCAGGGAAGACCUCUUUGAGCAGCAAUAUUUAUUGCCUGAGGCAAAAUGAAUGGCUGGGCAAAUGAGUGGAAAGGACAGUUUUGAAGUACUAUCUCAGCACAGCUUUGACUUAACUUUCGUCAGGUGGGAAUGAGCAAGUUAAUAUUUGCAACAGAUAUUCCCUGCUACAUUCCUAGUCAAAAUUUAAGGGAAAACAACCAUUUCUCUCUGUUAGAAAAGCUGCUGAUACCUUUUUGUCUCUUUGUAAGAUCAGCAAGGACUAAAACCUGUGUUAUCUUCCUGAGUGGACUUAUGAUAUGUUUGUGGUCAAAAUUAAAGUUGAAUAUAAGUUAUGGUUUGUUUUUUAUAUCUAGCACAUCAACAUUUUAUCAGAGAACGAUGAAUACUGUCUUAUUAGUUUAAAAAUAUUUGCCGUAUAUAAUUACCUGUCAAUUUUUCUUCAAUAUUUGAUUACAUUUUUGUUUUAAUGAGGGCAAUUUAUUUUUAAAAUGCAAAAAUGUCAUAAUUGGGUCUUUGAGAGGUUUUAAGAGAGAUUCAUCAUCUUUAAUUUCAGCAAAAGCUUAGAUUCUGCAGAACAAGUGGAAACAGUUCCAUCAAGUGUCACUUGGUGGCAGCAUAACAAAAUUGCUAUGAGAGUUCCUAACUUGGGGAGCUAAGUAAGUUCUUUUAGGAACAAGCUAGUGAAAAACAAUAUUAUGGCUGUUUUGUAACACACAAAAAAACCUGCCAGUGUUCUUAUAAUUUAUUAUAAGAAAAACAUUUUUAAAUACCAUAUCAUACAUAGUAAAUUUUUUUCAUUAAUAUAGCGUUCAUUAACAAAUAUUUAUUGUUUCUAUUAUAUGGUAGAAACUGAGUUAAGAGUUAGGGCUAGAUAAUUUAAGCAUGGUCUCUACUUGGGGCUAAAUUGUGUCCCCCCAAAAUUCAUAUGUUGAAGUCCUAACCCCCAGUAUCUUAUAAUGUGACCGUAUUUGGAACAGGGUCUUUAAAAAGGUAAUCAAGUUAGAGUGAGGUAGUGAAUUUAGAAUGAGCUAAUUCUACAGGACUAGUGUACAUAUAAGAAGAGAAAAUUUGGAAACACAUACAUGCAGAGGGAAAACUGUGUGAAGACAGAGGGAAAAGACAGAUAUCUACACGCCAAGAAGAGAAGCCUCAGAAGAAACCAACCCUAUUAAUACCUUAAUCUCAGGCUUCUAAUCUCCAAAAUUGUGAGAAAAUAAAUUUCUGUUGUAUAAGCCACCCCAUGGUAUUUUGUCAUGGCAGCCCUAGCAAACUAGGCAGUUUUGAUGCUCAUGCCACAUAACGUUUUAAUUUUAAAAAACUGAAGCAGAGAAAAGUAAUUUCUCUGCUAUAAGUAAUAAGGCAAUGUGAUGGGUUUUAUAAUAGAUGCAUGCUCAGAAUUGUGAGCAUGGUGGGGAGUGGAAGUAAUUCUUUAGGAUGAUGUUGGAAGACCUUAUAUAAGAAUAUUUGAUGUGGGUUUUUAAGAUUAAGUAGAAAUUUUCCGGGCAGAGAAAUGGGAAUGAGAAUAAAUGGUAUUUAGGUAAAAGAAGAUGAUGUAACUGGAAAUGGAUAGGCAGGGGGUGACAUAGAGUGUUGUGAAAAUCUUGAGUUCUGAGUUGUUUAUGGUCAGGAGAUGGCCUGGAAAUGUAAGUUGGGAGUAGAUUUUGAAGAGGCAUAAGCCAUGUAAAAAGAUAUCUUUCGGGAGGCUGAGGCAGGAGAAUCGCUUGAACCUGGGAGGUAGAGGUUGCAGUGAGCCAAGAUUGCGCCACUGCACUCCAGCCUGGAGACAGAGCAAGACUCCAUCUCAAAAAAAAAAAAAAAAAAAGAUAUCUUUAUUGUCCAAGGCAUUCCUUUCUUGAAAUGGUAAUAUAAAAUUAUAUAUUUCAAAUCGGUUGGCAAAAUAGGUUCAAAAAGAUUCACUAAAAAAACACAAAAAACGAUAAUUGAUCAGUGAUAUCAUUUGGAUAUUUGUUCCCACCCAAAUCUCAUAUUGAAUUGUAAUCCCCAAUGCUAGAGGAGGGGCCUAGUGGGAGGUGUUUGGAUCAUGGGAGCAGAUCCUCAUGGCUUGGUGCUGUGCUUGCUAUAAGGAGUGAUCUGUCACAAAAUCUGGUCAUUUAAAAGUAUGUGACAUCUACUCCCCUCACUCUUUCUCUCUUGUUUCUGCUUUCACUAUGUGAAGUACCUGCUCCCCCUUGCCUUCCACAAUGACUGGAAGCUUCCUGAGACCCCCCUAGAGGCAGCUGUCACUAUGCUUCCUAUAUAGCCUGCAGAAGCAUGAGCCAAUUAAGCCUCUUUUUAAAUAAAUUACCCAGUGUCAGGUAUUUUUUUUAGAGCAGUGUAAGAACAACCUGAUACAUAAAAUCAGUACUGAGAAGUGAGGCAUUACUAUAAAGUUACCUGAAAAUGUGGAUGUGACUUUGGAACUGCGUAAUGGGCAGAGGUUAGAAGAGUUUGGAGGGCUCAGAGGAAGACAAGAUGAUGAGAGAAAGUUUGAUAUUUCUUGGAAACUGGUAAAAUGGUUGUGACCAAAAUGCUGAUAGUGAUAUGGACAGUGAAGUCUGGAUUGCUGAGGUCUCAGAUUGAAAUGAGAAAUCUUAUUGGAAACUGGAGCACAGGUCACACAUGUGAUGCCUUAGCAAAGAGCUUGGCUGCAUUUUGUUCAUGACUUAGUGAUAUAUGAAAGUAUUGAACUUCAAAGUGAUGAUUUAGGGUAUCUGGUAGAAGAUAUUUUUAAGCAGCAAAGCUUUCAAGUUGUGACCUGGCUGCUCCUAAAAACCUAUGCUCAGAUGUGGGAGCAAAGAAAUGACUUAAAUUUGAAAUUUAUAUUUAAAAGGAUAGCAGAGCAUAAAAAUUGGGAAAAUUUGCAGCCUGGUCAUGUAUCAGAAAAAGUAAAAGCCUUUUCAGGAGAAGAAUUCAAGCAGACUGUGGAGCAAUUACUUGCUAGAGAGAUGUGCAUAAUUCAAAAGGAGCCAAGUGUUGAUAGCCAAGGCAAUGGGAAAAAGGCCCUGAAGGCAUUUCAGAGACCUUUGUGGCAGCCCAUCACAUCACAGGCCUGAGGCCUAGGGGAAAGAAUGUUUCAUGGGCCAGGGCCCUGCUGCUCUGUGCAGCCUGGAGAUACUGCUCUCACAUCCUGGCUGCUCUGGCUUUAGCCUUAGCUCAAGGGGGUCCAGGUA